UGAUACCAGAGUCAAAAGGUCUAAACCCAUACGAGCUUGCUCAUAGGUGGGUGAAUGACCUUGUGACCCGCCCCAAUAUAAACAUAAAAGUGGGAUAAUAGUCCCACGAUAUGUGAAUAUUGGGUAGAAUUGUUAGGCAAUUUUAUUUCU
rnacentral:sRNA from 1 species